CGUGCCUACGGGAGGCAGCAGUGGGGGAUAUUGCACAAUGGGGGAAACCCUGAUGCAGCGACGCCGCGUGAGCGAUGAAGUAUUUCGGUAUGUAAACCUCUAUCAGCAGGGAAGAAAAUGACGGUACCUGACUAAGAAGCCCCGGCUAACUACGUGCCAGCAGCCGCGGCAGUACGUAGGGGGCAAGCGUUAUCCGGAUUUACUGGGUGUAAAGGGAGCGUAGACGGCAGUGCAAGUCUGAAGUGAAAGGCAAGGGCUCAACCCUUGUACUGCUUUGGAAACUGUGCUGCUGGAGUGUCGGAGAG
rnacentral:rRNA from 1 species